rnacentral:rRNA from 1 species
GAAAAAGAGGAGUGGCGAACGGGUGAGUAACACGUGGGUAACCUGCCCAUCAGAAGGGGAUAACACUUGGAAACAGGUGCUAAUACCGUAUAACAAUCGAAACCGCAUGGUUUUGAUUUGAAAGGCGCUUUCGGGUGUCGCUGAUGGAUGGACCCGCGGUGCAUUAGCUAGUUGGUGAGGUAACGGCUCACCAAGGCCACGAUGCAUAGCCGACCUGAGAGGGUGAUCGGCCACAUUGGGACUGAGACACGGCCCAAACUCCUACGGGAGGCAGCAGUAGGGAAUCUUCGGCAAUGGACGAAAGUCUGACCGAGCAACGCCGCGUGAGUGAAGAAGGUUUUCGGAUCGUAAAACUCUGUUGUUAGAGAAGAACAAGGAUGAGAGUAACUGUUCAUCCCUUGACGGUAUCUAACCAGAAAGCCACGGCUAACUACGUGCCAGCAGCCGCGGUAAUACGUAGGUGGCAAGUGUUGUCCGGAUUUAUUGGGCGUAAAGCGAGCGCAGGCGGUUUCUUAAGUCUGAUGUGAAAGCCCCCGGCUCAACCGGGGAGGGUCAUUGGAAACUGGGAGACUUGAGUGCAGAAGAGGAGAGUGGAAUUCCAUGUGUAGCGGUGAAAUGCGUAGAUAUAUGGAGGAACACCAGUGGCGAAGGCGGCUCUCUGGUCUGUA